rnacentral:rRNA from 1 species
UGGGGAAUUUUGGACAAUGGGCGCAAGCCUGAUCCAGCCAUGCCGCGUGCGGGAAGAAGGCCUUCGGGUUGUAAACCGCUUUUGUCAGGGAAGAAAUCUUCUGAGUUAAUACCUCGGGAGGAUGACGGUACCUGAAGAAUAAGCACCGGCUAACUACGUGCCAGCAGCCGCGGUAAUACGUAGGGUGCAAGCGUUAAUCGGAAUUACUGGGCGUAAAGCGUGCGCAGGCGGUUUUGUAAGACAGAGGUGAAAUCCCCGGGCUCAACCUGGGAACUGCCUUUGUGACUGCAAGGCUUGAGUGCGGCAGAGGGGGGAUGGAAUUCCGCGUGUAGCAGUGAAAUGCGUAGAUAUGCGGAGGAACACCGAUGGCGAAGGCAAUCCUCUGGGCCUGCACUGACGCUCAUGCACGAAAGCGUGGGGAGCAAACAGGAUUAGAUCCCUGGUAGUCCACGCCCUAAAACGAUGUCAACUGGUUGUUGGGAAGGUUCCUUCUCAGUAACGUAGCUAACGCGUGAAGUUGACCGCCUGGGGAGUACGGCCGCAAGGUUG